rnacentral:rRNA from 1 species
UGGGGGAUAUUGCACAAUGGGCGAAAGCCUGAUGCAGCGACGCCGCGUGGGGGAUGAAGGCUUUCGGGUUGUAAACCUCUUUCGCUAUCGAACAAGGCCCGCUUAGGGUGGGUUGAGGGUAGGUGGAGAAGAAGCGCCGGCUAACUACUUGCCAGCAGCCGCGGUAAUACGUAGGGCGCGAGCGUUGUCCGGAAUUAUUGGGCGUAAAGGGCUUGUAGGCGGCUUGUUGCGCCUGCUGUGAAAACGCGGGGCUUAACUUCGCGCGUGCAGUGGGUACGGGCAGGCUUGAGUGUGGUAGGGGUGACUGGAAUUCCAGGUGUAGCGGUGGAAUGCGCAGAUAUCUGGAGGAACACCGAUGGCGAAGGCAGGUCACUGGGCCAUUACUGACGCUGAGGAGCGAAAGCAUGGGUAGCGAACAGG